AAGUCGUAACAAGGUUUCCGUAGGUGAACCUGCGGAAGGAUCAUUACCGAAAUUUACCAAAAAACGCGAGUUUCGUGCGGAAAGUAUCAAUGACUGCCGAAACUUUGUGACUUUCAAGUCUUCCUUUGCUCAAGUCAGCCACUCUUGGAUUUAAAAUGUGAAAAAUAGAUUCAAGUUGUGGUGAGCAUUGGAAGCACUGCGUAUUUCCGUAACUGGAAUUCACACAGUAAAAAAACUUUUUGUAAAGAAACAACUACUUGUAAAGAAUAUAUAUAAACAAAAAAGACGAAAAAAAGCAACCUCGAGUGGUGGAUCACUUGGCUCGUGG
rnacentral:misc_RNA from 1 species